UACGUAGGGGGCAAGCGUUGUCCGGAUUUAUUGGGCGUAAAGAGCGUGUAGGCGGUCAGGUAGGUCCGUUGUGAAAACUCGAGGCUCAACCUCGAGACGCCGAUGGAAACCAUCUGACUAGAGUCCGGAAGAGGAGAGUGGAAUUCCGGUGGAGCGGUGAAAUGCGUAGAGAUCGGAAAGAACACCAACGGCGAAAGCACUCUGCUGGGCCGACACUGACACUGAGAGACGAAAGCUAGGGGAGCGAAUGGG
rnacentral:rRNA from 1 species